GGUGGUUUUCGGGUGAUGCACCCCAGAAUUGGGCUCCCUCCUCUCUCGUUCUGGGUGCAUCACCAGGAACCGCA
rfam:Myotis brandtii contig193341, whole genome shotgun sequence.